GUCUGAGGUGAUGACAGCUGGGUGAGUGGGGGCUGUUCUCAAGAGUUGUGUAUGUGACAGGAACAAAUAGCCACAGGCCCCAGACCACGUGUGACACCACGGGGUUCAUCCUUGAGUUCGCCCUUUCCAGAGCAUGUGAAGAGAUCGCUACUGUCCAAGAGAUCCCGGCAGGGGGCGGUCCAUUGAAGGGCAAGGACGACAUGGAGGUUUGCCAUGACCAUUCUGGCCUCUGUAACGGAUGCAGCUGUUCCUUCCAGGUACCACCGGGAAGAUUUCAUCGCCACCACCCGUCCUUUCUGCCAGGCAAAUGGAGAGGAAGGUGGAGAGCCUCUCCAUUCAGCUGCAGCUGAUGGCCCGAGAGGGGAACGAGCUGCGGAAGCGCCUGGCCUUUGCCACACACGGGACGGCCUUGGACCCGAGGUAGUGGUCACCACGUGCUUUCCUGCCCAGCCCGACCGACAAGGGCUGCUCUCCGGAUGCCUUCGCAGCCCCCGUCCUCCGUGUGCUUCUCCUUAGCCCGGUGGUCCAUGCGACACUGCCGGUGUGUCCAUUUGUCCCGGUCCCCACUGCACUUUGAAACACUGUGCCUGGACCCUGGAUCGGGAAGGGGACACGGGCUGCUUAUGCUUCCUCCAAGCCAACCUGGAGCCCGUGGCCUGAGUCUCACA
rnacentral:lncRNA from 1 species